CAGCCCUAAACGAUGCGCGUUAGGUGUAUCGGUGACCACGAGUCACCGAGGUGCCGAAGGGAAACCGUGAAACGUGCCGCCUGGGAAGUACGGUCGCAAGGCUGAAACUUAAAGGAAUUGGCGGGGGAGCACCNCAACGGGUGGAGCCUGCGGUUUAAUUGGACUCAACGCCGGGAAGCUCACCGGAUAAGACAGCGGAAUGAUUGCCGGGCUGAAGACCCUGCAUGACCAGCUGAGAGGAGGUGCAUGGCGUAGUCGUGU
rnacentral:rRNA from 1 species